AUUGAACGCUGGCGGCAUGCUUUACACAUGCAAGUCGAACGGCAGCGGGGUAGUGCUUGCACUACUGCCGGCGAGUGGCGAACGGGUGAGUAAUAUAUCGGAACGUACCGAGUAAUGGGGGAUAACCAAUCGAAAGAUUGGCUAAUACCGCAUACGUCCUACGGGAGAAAGCGGGGGAUCGCAAGACCUCGCGUUAUUCGAGCGGCCGAUAACUGAUUAGCUAGUUGGUGGGGUAAAGGCCUACCAAGGCGACGAUCAGUAGCGGGUCUGAGAGGACGAUCCGCCACACUGGGACUGAGACACGGCCCAGACUCCUACGGGAGGCAGCAGUGGGGAAUUUUGGACAAUGGGGGCAACCCUGAUCCAGCCAUGCCGCGUGUAUGAAGAAGGCCUUCGGGUUGUGAAGUACUUUUGUUAGGGAAGAAAAGGGGAGUGCUAAUACCACUUUUUGCUGACGGUACCUAAAGAAUAAGCACCGGCUAACUACGUGCCAGCAGCCGCGGUAAUACGUAGGGUGCGAGCGUUAAUCGGAAUUACUGGGCGUAAAGCGAGCGCAGACGGUUAUUUAAGCAGGAUGUGAAAUCCCCGGGCUUAACCUGGGAACUGCGUUCUGAACUGGAUAGCUAGAGUGUGUCAGAGGGGGGUAGAAUUCCACGUGUAGCAGUGAAAUGCGUAGAGAUGUGGAGGAAUACCGAUGGCGAAGGCAGCCCCCUGGGAUAACACUGACGUUCAUGCUCGAAAGCGUGGGUAGCAAACAGG
rnacentral:rRNA from 1 species